CCUACGGGCGGCAGCAGUGGGGAAUAUUGGACAAUGGGGGGAACCCUGAUCCAGCCAUGCCGCGUGUGUGAAGAAGGCCCUCGGGUUGUAAAGCACUUUCAGUGAGGAAGAACGCCUUGUGGUUAAUACCCAUCAGUAAAGACAUCACUCACAGAAGAAGCACCGGCUAACUCCGUGCCAGCAGCCGCGGUAAUACGGAGGGUGCGAGCGUUAAUCGGAAUUACUGGGCGUAAAGCGCACGUAGGUGGCUUGAUAAGCCGGUUGUGAAAGCCCCGGGCUCAACCUGGGAACGGCAUCCGGAACUGUCAAGCUAGAGUGCAGGAGAGGAAGGUAGAAUUCCCGGUGUAGCGGUGAAAUGCGUAGAGAUCGGGAGGAAUACCAGUGGCGAAGGCGGCCUUCUGGACUGACACUGACACUGAGGUGCGAAAGCGUGGGUAGCAAACAGGAUUAGAUACCCCUGUAGUC
rnacentral:rRNA from 1 species